UCUUGGUGAUCUUGAUAGCGCUGAAGAUGUGCUUGCUGCAGCGUGUGAUGCACGCAAGUUUGUCCCGGGGAACCCUCUUGGAGUCCAUCUCAAUGAUAUCUGCCAACCAGAAAUGAAGAUAGAAAAGCAACUUAAAUGCAGGUAACCUACAGCAUUGCCACAACAUAUGGAGCUGACUGGUCUAAUCUGCGAUGUGUGAACCUAUUUUCCACAGAUCUAGAGGUAGCAGACAUUCAUUUAUUUUAAAGCCUUAAG